AGUAGAGACAGGGUUUCAGUAUGUUGGCCAGACUGGUUUUGAACUCCUGAACUCAAGUGAUCCACCCACCUCGACCUCCCGAAGUGCUGGGAUUACAGGUGAUACGAAGCCUUCUGAAGAUUUGAAUCAAGGAAAUGAGGAGCCAUUGAAGAAUACUGUUGUCCUAUCCCAGAAGGAGCAAGCGGACAACACUGAUAUCCUGACCACUAACCAUCCAGCACCACUUAAAGUUUUAAAAAGAAUAACAGAAAGAAAGAAGUGGCUGAAACCUAAAUGCCAUAUGGAGAAGACAGCUAAUUGCCACACUCUCCUCUUUGGUCUUUCCUGGUACGCAGCAUACAAGCCCACAGAUUGAGGACUCUGCACUUGCUGUUCUCUCUGCCUGGAGCUCUAUGGCUCCAGAUAGACUCCUGCCAACUCCUUCGCCUUGUCCAAGUUACCUUCAUUAAAUGUCAGCUUAAAUGUGUGCCUACUUUUUGCCCUACCUAGAAUUGCAAGCACCUCUCACCACUGUGCUCCCAUUCUCCUUAACUUAAGCCACUUUUAUUCUCAUAAUAAAGCCACAUAUUUUUUCUUAUUAUAUCAUAAUCGUACUGUAUAAUUUAUAUUUUAUUACUUUUGUUUGUAUACUUAUUGUAUGUUUCUGUUCACAAGGAUGUAAACCCCAUGAACACAGAGAUCUUUGAUUGUUUUAUUCACUGAUUUAUGCCAAAUGUUUGGAACAAUGCCUGGCACAUAGUAGAUGUUUGAUAAUUUUUUUUUUUUCUGAAUGAAUAAAUACAUUUUAGCCAAA
rnacentral:lncRNA from 1 species